GCCCUCAGAUCUCAUAGCUCUAUAAAUUCACCGCGGCUCAAAUAAUGGUAUUUCACUUUGAGCAUUUCAUGUGCAAACAGAAGGAUGUCGUAAAAGAAGAAGAAGAAGAAGAAGAGAAGAGAAAAGAUGGGUCAUGACAAAUAGUAAAAGCAGCAGCAGCAGCAGCAGCAGCAGAGGAGUUGGUGGUGCUGUGGUGGUAUAGCAAGGGCACAGUAAUGCUCAAAAGAAUAGCCAUACAGCCACUCCAUAAACAUGUUUCCAUCAUUGGGCAUCAUCAAAGUUCAAGACACAACAAGAAUCCAACCAAAUAAUCACCAGGAAAACAUCCAGAAAGGCAUUUCUACUUAUCAGUUUAACAUCUAACUCAUAAAAAAAGGGCAUUGUAAUGCUUUGCAAGUUUCAAUAAUGCAAAAAUCCAACGUCUCAAAGAAUCCGCACUUCUGAUUCAAGAACUGAAAUCGAGAUAUAGUGCCAAAAUGUUUAGACAGUGAGAAAGCGUCAAAUACGCGACAUGAACAGCCUUCCGUAUCCGAAAUCUCCAUAAGAAAUCCCAUCUUUUUCUUUUUCUAAAAAAAUGUCAACAAAUCCAAAAAAUUUUACCAAUUGCCCUUUAUUUUUUUAAGGCGGAGAAAACAAUUAAAAAAUCUAAAUAAUAAGUUUCACGAGAGGAGCCCUCAGAUCUCAUAGCUUUCAGCAUUCAUCGACGGCUUAAUGGCUGAUUUUUCAUAGUGAGCAUCUUUGACAUGCAUAGAAGAAGAAGAUGAUGANNNNNNNNNNNNNNNNNNNNCGACGACGGUGAUGGUAAUGAUGAUGAUGACGAUGAUGAUGGCGGCUGCAGUGGGAAUGGUGAUAAGAUUAAAGCACGCACAGAUGCUCAAAAUGAAAGACCAAGAAGCCGCUCCAAAAUCCACAAGGUUUCCAUCAUCGGGCAUUACAUAAACACGACUAACAUCUUUAGCAACAGAAAGAUAAAAUUAAAAUUUAACAAAAAGGUGAAUAGAGUACGCUGGUAUCCACUCCGACGAUCCACAGACUUCUUAUUCAAGGAAAAUCCCCAACAAUAAAUACGUCAAUAAAUCAAACAUAUUUUCUAUUGCAAUACAAAAGCGAUAUCUGGGGAAAAAACUAUGCGAGAACUAGAGAAUUUUUGUUAAAAAAAAAUAGAAAAAACAUUAGGACCAGAGAGAGGGCGAGGAAGGACUUUGGAACCCUAGCGGCAGCGAGACGCAACCAGGCCAGGGCAUUGGAAAACGAAGGGGUUCGCUUACAUAUAGGGGAUUGAUCUUCUAAUUGCCCACUAGAAUUUGCAUUAAUAUCGAAACUGCCAUCAUAGAUUAUUUCUGUUCCUCUAUUUGAUUUGUUGUUAUAUAUUAUCUGUUUCGUAUUUUCCAAAUUUUAAUGUUAAUAUGAAAAUAUAUUGAUUUC
rnacentral:lncRNA from 1 species